CAAGGAGGAAGGGCAGUUGGGUACAAAUGUGCCGGUCCUCCCCUCUUCCCCAAGGCUGGCAGGACCGAUUCUGGCUUCGGUCUUUCCGAAAGGCAGGAAGGAAUUCAUUGUGCAAGAUGGAAGAGAGAACUCUGGAAGGAUGGUCACGCCAAAGAGAAAGAGCAGCAGACCAACCAGGAGUGGUGAUGGAGUCUCUACUGACUGGCCGGGCAUCUUUGGCCUGCCCCAAGUUGAAGGGUG